rnacentral:lncRNA from 1 species
UGUAGAAAAUAAUAGACUAAACCUGGUUUUAUAGCAAGCGAAACCUCUCACUUGUAUGAUAGACAUAUUCUAUUCCAUAAUAUUGACAACCAUUUGUGAAGAAAAUAAACAGACAUGAUAGAUAGAAAUGUAAAAAAUAGUGGUACAGCAGUCAAUAUUGUAUUAUAAUCUCAAUCACUAUAACAAAAAACAAAUAUGCCAAAAAAUAAAAACAGUAAAGCGUAUAGACAAAGCACAAUAGCAAAAAUGAAAACCAAGAAUAUGAAAAAUGACCAUAGCACAAUAACACAAUGGCGGGAUGUAUAAGUACAGAGCAACGCAAUAAGGAUAUUACAAAAAAUAAACUGUAAACAGUAAAGGUGAAUGAUUUGCCAAGUCAAAUAAUAGACAAGUGUUUCAUUAUAUUGAACAUAAAUUCAGUCCGUAGUUGUUCGUUUAAAAUGUUUUACAUUUGUCAUUUCGGGGCCUUU